GACGAACGCUGGCGGCGUGCUUAACACAUGCAAGUCGAACGGAAAGGCCCUGCUUUUGUGGGGUGCUCGAGUGGCGAACGGGUGAGUAACACGUGAGUAACCUGCCCUUGACUUUGGGAUAACUUCAGGAAACUGGGGCUAAUACCGGAUAGGAGCUCCUGCUGCAUGGUGGGGGUUGGAAAGUUUCGGCGGUUGGGGAUGGACUCGCGGCUUAUCAGCUUGUUGGUGGGGUAGUGGCUUACCAAGGCUUUGACGGGUAGCCGGCCUGAGAGGGUGACCGGCCACAUUGGGACUGAGAUGCGGCCCAGACGGCUACGGGAGGCAGCAGUGGGGAAUAUUGCACAAGGGGCGGAAGCCUGAUGCAGCAACGCCGCGGGCGGGUUGACGGCCUUCGGGUUGUAAACCGCUUUCGCCUGUGACGAAGCGUGAGUGACGGUAAUGGGUAAAGAAGCACCGGCUAACUACGUG
rnacentral:rRNA from 1 species